UGAAGGUUGUCACUGCAUAGCCAGAAUCUGAACAAGGGAAAUAGUCCAUUUUAUAAAACACAGACAUAAAUUCCAACCAAAAAGAAAGAAUUCAAUUUAUUUGGCUUAAUGGAAAUGCAAGAAGACAAAUAAAAUGUAAGCAUGAAUGGAUGAAGAAAAGAAGAUAUAACGCACAUAGGACAGUGUCUCCUCUGUGUAUUUAUUACAAAGAUUCCAGUUGUGACUCACAAUUCAGAAUUCAUGCUGACAGCCUACAGAAAAAAUUCUCAAUUACUGAGAUAAAUUUCAACAUUAACAAAAAGUAAGCCUUUUCCUGCUAUUACUUUUUUUUUUUUUUUGAGACAGGGUCUCACUCUGUUGCCCAAGAUGGAAUGCAGGGGUGCAAUCUUGACUCACUGAAACCUCCGUCUCCUGGGUUCAAGUGAUCUUCCCACCUCAGCCCACCAAAUAGCUGGGACUACAGGCACAUGCCACUAUGCC
rnacentral:lncRNA from 10 species